rnacentral:rRNA from 1 species
UACAGAGGGUGCGAGCGUUGUCCGGAAUCACUGGGCUUAAAGGGCGCGUAGGCGGGCCAUCAAGUCAGAGGUGAAAGCCCCGGCUCAACCGGGGAAGUGCCUUUGAUACUGACGGGCCUCGAGGGGGUAGGGGCGUGGCGGAACUUCCGGUGGAGCGGUGAAAUGCGUGAGAUAUCGGAAGGAACACCGGUGGCGAAAGCGGCGCGCUGGACCUCUUCUGACGCUGAGGCGCGAAA